rnacentral:rRNA from 1 species
AGUGAACGCUGGCGGUAGGCCUAACACAUGCAAGUCGAACGGCAGCACAGUAAGAGCUUGCUCUUACGGGUGGCGAGUGGCGGACGGGUGAGGAAUACAUCGGAAUCUACUUUUUCGUGGGGGAUAACGUAGGGAAACUUACGCUAAUACCGCAUACGACCUACGGGUGAAAGCAGGGGAUCUUCGGACCUUGCGCGAUUGAAUGAGCCGAUGUCGGAUUAGCUAGUUGGCGGGGUAAAGGCCCACCAAGGCGACGAUCCGUAGCUGGUCUGAGAGGAUGAUCAGCCACACUGGAAGUGAGACACGGUCCAGACUCCUACGGGAGGCAGCAGUGGGGAAUAUUGGACAAUGGGCGCAAGCCUGAUCCAGCCAUACCGCGUGGGCGAAGAAGGCCUUCGGGUUGUAAAGCCCUUUUGUUGGGAAAGAAAAGCAGCAGGUUAAUACCCCGCUGUUCUGACGGUACCCAAAGAAUAAGCACCGGCUAACUUCGUG